rnacentral:lncRNA from 1 species
CAUCGUUAAUGGGCUAUAUGCACGCAUUACUUCCGCGUUUUGUCUAAGGCCGCGGUCCAGCUUCCGGUCUGGGUGAUUUUAAGCGGAGGUGAACAGUAUUAUGACAGAGUCGUCAAUAUUUACUCGCUGUUUGCGAGUAAAUUAUGGUCAACGAUGUGCAAAUGAUUGUCCGGAUGUGCUCUACAACACCGCAGAGCAAAGCUUGAGAAGGGUUUCAAGUUAUAUGCAUCUUCCUACCUGUGCAAUUAUGAAGGUAACAUUAUGAGAUUCAGAGCUAGAAAAUUUUAUGUGUUACUUCAUCCUGGAGUGGACAUCCGUCAGAAGAUCCAUGCCAUGGUCUGCUAGUUAAUAGCUCCUGCUCUUGUGUGGCUGAGAGUGGGAUAUGCAAACAUUUGGUUGCUUUGCUUUUGCAGACAGCCCAUUACUCUGAAAUGUGUAAUGUGAGUUGUCACAUGAACAAUUGUUUGGAAUGGAUCAAUUAUGUGUUAAGUUCCAUGAAACAGAGGGGUGAUUUAUUUAUUUAUUUAAUACGUAUAAGCCCAAAUACCUCUCUAUGCACAAGUUACAGAAGAAGCACCUGAUUCAAGGAAACAACUGAUUCAAUGUCAUUUUUUCUGUUCAUCUGAAUAAAAUAUUUUUUUCAAAAUGUUACUUUUUUUGACAAUUUUUAUUUCAAAUUACAUACAGUGAAUUAUAUUUGAUAUGUACAGUGAAUAAAAUAAAGGUCUUUAUUCUGAAUUUAAAAAAUGCACUUAGAAAGUAGCUUAAGAAAUGUUUAUGUAUAUUAAUGUUCAUUUUUUUUACUUCAAAGGCAAUGAAAAUAAACUAUUAUUUGCC